rnacentral:rRNA from 1 species
AUUGAACGCUGGCGGCAGGCUUAACACAUGCAAGUCGAGCGGAGAGAGGUAGCUUGCUACUGAUCCUAGCGGCGGACGGGUGAGUAAUGCUUAGGCAUCUGCCUAUCAGUGGGGGACAACAUUUCGACAGGAAUGCUACUACCGCAUACGUCCUACGAGAGCAAGCAGGGGAUCUUCGGACCGUGCGCUAAUAGACGAGCCUAAGUCGGAUUAGCUAGUUGGUGGGGUAAAGGCCUACCAAGCCGACGAUCUGUAGCGGGUCUGAGAGAAGGAACAGCCACACUGGGACUAAGGCACGGCCAAGACUCCGACGGGUGGCAGCAGUGGGGAAUAGUGGACAAUGGGCGCAAGCCUGAUCCAGCCAUGCCGCGUGUGUGAAGAAGGCCUUAGGGUUGUAAAGCACUUUAAGCGAGGAGGAGGCUACUUUAGAUAAUACCUAGAGAUAGUGGACGUUACUCGCAGAAUAAGCACCGGCUAACGCUGUGCCAGCCGCCGCCGUAAAAC